GACGAACGCUGGCGGCGUGCUUAACACAUGCAAGUCGAACGGAAAGGCCCUGCUUUUGUGGGGUGCUCGAGUGGCGAACGGGUGAGUAACACGUGAGUAACCUGCCCUUGACUUUGGGAUAACUUCAGGAAACUGGGGCUAAUACCGGAUAGGAGCUCCUGCUGCAUGGUGGGGGUUGGAAAGUUUCGGCGGUUGGGGAUGGACUCGCGGCUUAUCAGCUUGUUGGUGGGGUAGUGGCUUACCAAGGCUUUGACGGGUAGCCGGCCUGAGAGGGUGACCGGCCACAUUGGGACUGGGAUACGGCCCAGACGCCUACGGGAGGCAGCAGUGGGGAAUAUUGCACAAUGGGCGGAAGCCUGAUGCAGCAACGCCGCGUGCGGGAUGACGGCCUUCGGGUGGUAAACCGCUUUCGCCUGUGACGAAGCGUGAGUGACGGUAAUGGGUAAAGAAGCACCGGCUAACUACGU
rnacentral:rRNA from 1 species